ensembl:lncRNA
AUUAUUAUUAUUAUUAUUAUUAUUAUUAUUAUUAUUAUUUUAUCAUGACACAGCAAACAAUAUAGACAUGCUGGAUUUCGUAUCACAAAAUCACAAGUUGAACACUUCCCAAGUGUCUAGGACUGUGUGAUGUAUUUUCAGAUGAUGCGCGCAGAUCCCAAUCGGGUGGCCUUUUGCAGCUGGCAGAUUGUAAUUUUGUCAAUGCCUAUUGUUUCCAAAUGCCGGCUGAGAUCUUUUGGCACGGCACCCAGUGUGCCAACCACCACCGGGACCACCUGCACUGGUUUCUGCCAGAGUCUUUGAAGUUCAAUCUUGAGGUCCUGAUAGCGGCUGAGUUUUUCCUGUUGUUUUUCGUCAAUGCGACUGUCACCUGGGAUGGCGACAUCAAUGAUCCAAACCUUUUUCUUUUCCACAACUGUGAUGUCUGGUGUGUUGUGUUCCAGACUGACAAAGUUCUGGAACACAACACACCAGACAUCACAGUUGUGGAAAAGAAAAAGGUUUGGAUCAUUGAUGUCGCCAUCCCAGGUGACAGUCGCAUUGACGAAAAACAACAGGAAAAACUCAGCCGCUAUCAGGACCUCAAGAUUGAACUUCAAAGACUCUGGCAGAAACCAGUGCAGGUGGUCCCGGUGGUGAUGGGCAAACUGGGUGCUGUGCGAAAAGUUCUCAGCCGGCAUCUGGAAACAAUAGACAUUGACAAAACUACGAUCUGCCAACUGCAAAAGGCCACCCUACUGGGAUCUGCAUACAUCAUACAUCAUCCGAAAAUACAUCACACAGUCCUAAACGCUUGGGAAGUGUUCGACAGCAUAUCUAUCUUGUUUGCUGUGUCAUACAAUUAAAAUAAUAAUAAUAAUAAUAAUAAUAAUAAUAAUAAUAAUAAUAAUAAUAACAACAACAACAAUAACAACAACAACAAUAAUGAUAAUAAUAACCACCACUACCACCACAGGGGCCACCCAGUCCAGGAAAAACACAAUCAAAGCACCCCAACAGAUGGCCAUCCAGCCUUAACAACAACAACCCCAGUGGCUAUCCAAUCCAGGAAAAACACAGUUAAAGCAGCCCAACAGAUGGCCAUCCAGCCUUUGUAACAACAACAGAAACCCCAGAGUUUUUGGAAACUUGCAGGUCAGUGCCAAGCUCUCUGGGAAGUGAUAUUAUUGUCCCCUUUUCUGUGGCUCAUAAUUGCUGAUUAAGAAAUCAAUCGUGAGGCUCUAAACGUGGAGCAUGUCUUUUUUCAUAUUUCUGAUUCUAUGUGUCCUGUUCUCUCCCUCCCUACAGGUAUUCCCUCUGACUUUUUUAAAAAGCCAUUCUUUUCUAAGUAGAGAUAAAUGAGCCUCAAGCUGCUGCACCUGCUCUUCCCACAGGGCAACCAACUUGCACUUGCUGCAGGUAGAAGAGCCUAGAUUCUCUGGCAAGAAAGCAAAGAUGGCACAAAAACAAUGCCUUCACUACAUGCAGGAUUUCCUAGUAUGUAGAUUGCAGCACUCUCUCAUGGAGCGUGAUGCAAAAUGCCUGUUUCCUUUUCCUUGUUUGCUGAGAUGAGGAGACCUUAUAGAGCUACCAGCUGCAAUCUCUCCUCCCAGUCAAGCCAGUGACUCACUUCCUCUGAGCAGAUGCCCCUCUCUCUUGGACCAUAUGCUCAAAGGUUGCUCAUGGGCCAAAGUACACAAAAGCACACAAGCUAGCUCCCAAACGUCUCGGCCAAACAGUCAGGCUUAACUCCAAAAAAACAUGUGUGCCAUCUUCUAUCUCCCCAGAGAUGAGUAUAGAUAGUAGAGAUGUGCAUGAAAAUUUUUCUUUCAUUUCCUUCGUGCUAUUGUUUGUUUCAACUAUUCGUCUACAGACAAUGAAUGAAGACAUUUUUAUAGGAAACGAGAGGUGACAUCAAAAUGAAAGCCGCAUAGUCAUUGUGCUUGCUUUCGUUUUCUUUUCGUUUCGGACCCUUAACAAUAAGCAGGUACGGACAGAGGGCUGCAGUGCUUUCCCAUUACAGCUUAUAUGUAUCAAUGGUUGUGAAUAAUAAUAUUAAUAUAAAUAACAAUAGCUAUCCUGGGACCCUAAGCUGAGUCUGAGAGGCGAGUCCCUCCGCAUUACAUCCGAUGUGUGCCAAUGGGUAUUCAUGAUAAUACUAAUAUGAAUAUAAAUAACGAUAGAUAUCCUAGGACCCUAAGCUGAGUCUGAGAGGGAAGUGACUCCCCAUUACAUCCAAUGUGUUUUAAUGGGUGUUAAUGAUAAUACUAAUAUGAAUAUAAAUUACAAUAGAUAUCCUAGGACCCUAAGCUGAGUCUGAGAGGGGAGUGCCUCCGCAUUACAUCCGAUGUGUGCUAAUGGGUGUUAAUGAUAAUACUAAUAUGAAUAUUAAUAAUGAUAGCUAUCCUAGGACCCUAAGCUGAGUCUGAGUGGGGAGUGCCUCCCAUUACAUCCGAUGUGUUCCAAGGGUGUUAAUGAUAAUACUAAUAUGAAUAUAAAAUAAUGAUAGCUAUCCUAGGACCCUAAGCUGAGUCUGAGAGGGGAGUGCCUCCCC